UCUCCUGUAGCUCAGUGGUAGAGCGUCCGACUGGUGUGCAGAAGGUCAUAGGUUCGACCUUUGCUGGAAGAA